GACGAACGCUGGCGGCGUGCUUAACACAUGCAAGUCGAACGGAAAGGCCUCUUUCGGGGGGUACUCGAGUGGCGAACGGGUGAGUAACACGUGAGUAACCUGCCCUUGACUUUGGGAUAACUUCAGGAAACUGGGGCUAAUACCGGAUAGGAGCUCCUGCUGCAUGGUGGGGGUUGGAAAGUUUCGGCGGUUGGGGAUGGACUCGCGGCUUAUCAGCUUGUUGGUGGGGUAGUGGCUUACCAAGGCUUUGACGGGUAGCCGGCCUGAGAGGGUGACCGGCCACAUUGGGACUGAGAGACGGCCCAGACUCCUACGGGAGGCAGCAGUGGGGAAUAUUGCACAAUGGGUGGAAGCCUGAUGCAGCAACGCCGCGUGCGGGAGGACGGCCUUCGGGUUGUAAACCGCUUUCAGCAGGGACGAAGCUUUUUGUGACGGUACCUGCAGAAGAAGCACCGGCUAACUACGUG
rnacentral:rRNA from 1 species